GUUGGUCUGCAGAUAGUAGACUUCUUUUAAGUGGGAGCAAAGACUACCCUGAAGAUCUGGGAUAUUCGCACGAAGAAGUUGAAACAAGAUCUUCCGGGUCAUGCGGAUGAGAACGUUUUUGCGGUCGAUUGGAAUCCAGACGGUGAGAAUGUUGCUUCUGGUGGUAAAGAUAAGGUGUUGAAGCUAUGGAUGGGAUAAUGCACUGGGAGUUAUACUAAGGCCUGUCAGACCAUUGCAUAUGCAGAUGAAAUGAGAUGGCAGUUCAGAUGCUUUCAUCAGAAGUGAAGAUUGAUUGUUUGAUAACACAUUACGUCUGCAGACAGAAAGUGCAUGCUCAACUAUUAGGUGCUGCGAGUUCAGAUGCAAUUUGGUCGUGUAGAU